rnacentral:lncRNA from 1 species
UGGAAUGAGAAUGAGCUUUUCCAUAGCUAAUCCUCCAGGAGACAGGCUCCCUCAAAUGUAAUUGUCCGCUUCCUGAAGCUAUACCAGUUGCCAUAAGACCUUACUGACUAACAAUCCAGGUCAAAGGAAUUGGUAUCAGGUCAGCACUCCAAAUAGGUUACAGUAUUUGUGAAGCUAAACAUUUAAACAUCAUCUUGAUUACUUCUAAAAACAUCCUAACAGGACAAGGAGUUGAGCUAAAUAACAAAAUAUUGGCACUUGACAUUUAGAUAACUUCUACCAAUCAUUACGCGCAUAUUUCGAAAGUUUAUGCUACUUUUUUAAAAGAUGAUUGAUGUAAUUAUGGUUGAAAAUUAUAGGUAAUUAAAUUUGCAAUUACUUGCUACUUCUUAAUUUUGACAGAUUCACUUCAACCUGAAUCAAUCUUGUUUGAACUUGACUUUGUAAGAUGUUCUUCAAUUCUUUGAAUGCUUUUUUAGACAUUUUUCAAGCUCAAGCAAAAUAGAUUAUAUUAUUAAAAGAUUACAACUAAAAAGGCAUUUUCUUAACCUUGUAUAUCUUUUAAAGCAUAAUAAUCACAAUGAUAUUGGCAGCUUAAACCUUUCUAUGGAACUAAAAGUGAUAAGAGAAGUACAAGUAUAAAAUGAUACUGUAAUUAGCAUAGUCAAUCAUGGUCAGUCUAUUUUUGAUAAUUGUGGUGUACUGGGCAGCUUUCGCGCACCUCGACUAGUUCCACCGGAUACCUGACACCUCCCACCAAUAACAUAUCGGAUACCAGGUAAGACUUCAAUCAUGUGAAGUUUUAAUUAUAAUUUUAAAUGUUUGUAUUGAUUAUAGAAUAAUUUAAAUAGUUUUUUGUAAUAGUUGCCUCAAUUAGUAAGUAAAAUCAAGAAGAGCUUAUGUAAUCAACAAUGUCUCACAAAAAGUGACACCAAUUGGAUAUAGAAAUGUUAUCAAAAGCAACAACGGGAGAGAAAACAGAAUUGAGUAGCAUGUCUGCUAAACGAGAGGAUCCAUCGGAGCGAACCCUAGAUUAAAUCACAAACACAACCCCUAUCCACCCACCCAAACAAACGAAAUACACUUAUCAUUAAGAAAGAGUAAAUCAAUGAAACAAUCAAAGGGAAGUCGGAUGCAGUAAAACUCCUGUUAUGCAUGGAUGUGAAGAAGAGCAGGACCACAAAAAUAUAUUGCAUGCAGACUUACGGUUGUUUUUAUGGCUUAAAUCUGUGACCUCGAUCACGUAAUAGCAACUAAAUAAUUUGAAAUGUAGAAUUACCUUGAUGCAACAAAGAUGGCGCUUCGAAGUGAAGGCUGGUUGCUGGCGAAGGAAGCAGACAGAAUUGAGGGAGAAUUUAGUAUUUGCGGAACAAUGGGCUAUUUGUUUGUUUUAUUAGUGUAUAUAUGUAGGGGUGUGCAUGGUAUGGUAUGUUACGGUAUGGUAAGGUAUUUUAAAUUUUGGUACGGU